rfam:Pichia membranifaciens NRRL Y-2026 unplaced genomic scaffold PICMEscaffold_1, whole genome shotgun sequence.
CUCCACAUAGCGUAAUGGUGAUCGCGUCUGACUACGGAUCAGAAGAUUCUAGGUUCGAGUCCUAGUGUGGAGG